CCUACGGGUGGCAGCAGUGGGGAAUAUUGCACAAUGGGGGAAACCCUGAUGCAGCGACGCCGCGUGAGUGAAGAAGUCAUUCUUUAUGUAAAGCUGUAUCAGCAGGGAAGAAAAUUACGGUACCUGAGUAUGAUUCCCCGGCUAACUACGAGACAGCAGCCGCGGUACCACGCAGGGGGCAAGCGUUAUCCGGAUUUACUGGGUGUAAGGGGAGCGUAGGCGGUAGUGAAAGUGUGGAGUGAAAGGCGGGGGCUCAACCGCCGGCCUGCUCUGGAAACUGGGCGGCUGGAGUGCGGGAGAGGUAAGUGGAAUUCGUGGUGUAGCGGUGAAAUGCGUAGAUAUCAGGAGGAACACCAGUGGCGAAGGCGGCUUACUGGACUGUAACUGACGUUGAGGCUCGAAGGCGUGGGGAGCGAACAGGAUUAGAUACCCUGGUAGUC
rnacentral:rRNA from 1 species